rnacentral:rRNA from 1 species
ACCGGAUAGGACGAAAGUUUAAAGGUGCUUCUGGCACCGCUGAUGGAUGAGCCUGCGGCGCAUUAGCUAGUUGGUAGGGUAAAGGCCUACCAAGGCGACGAUGCGUAGCCGACCUGAGAGGGUGAACGGCCACACUGGGACUGAGACACGGCCCAGACUCCUACGGGAGGCAGCAGUAGGGAAUCUUCGGCAAUGGGCGAAAGCCUGACCGAGCAACGCCGCGUGAAUGAUGAAGGCCUUCGGGUUGUAAAAUUCUGUUAUAAGGGAAGAACGACUUUAGUAGGAAAUGGCUAGAGUGUGACGGUACCUUAUGAGAAAGCCACGGCUAACUACGUGCCAGCAGCCGCGGUAAUACGUAGGUGGCGAGCGUUAUCCGGAAUUAUUGGGCGUAAAGAGCGCGCAGGUGGUUGAUUAAGUCUGAUGUGAAAGCCCACGGCUUAACCGUGGAGGGUCAUUGGAAACUGGUCGACUUGAGUGCAGAAGAGGGAAGUGGAAUUCCAUGUGUAGCGGUGAAAUGCGUAGAGAUAUGGAGGAACACCAGUGGCG